rnacentral:rRNA from 1 species
GAUGAACGCUGGCGGCGUGCUUAACACAUGCAAGUCGAACGGAAAGGCCAGUGCUUGCACUGGUACUCGAGUGGCGAACGGGUGAGUAACACGUGGGUGAUCUGCCCUGCACUUCGGGAUAAGCCUGGGAAACUGGGUCUAAUACCGGAUAGGACAAUGGUUUGGAUGCCGUUGUGGAAGUUUUUUCGGUGUGGGAUGAGCUCGCGGCCUAUCAGCUUGUUGGUGGGGUAAUGGCCUACCAAGGCGUCGACGGGUAGCCGGCCUGAGAGGGUGUACGGCCACAUUGGGACUGAGAUACGGCCCAGACUCCUACGGGAGGCAGCAGUGGGGAAUAUUGCACAAUGGGCGCAAGCCUGAUGCAGCGACGCCGCGUGGGGGAUGACGGCCUUCGGGUUGUAAACUCCUUUCGCUAGGGACGAAGCGUAUUUGUGACGGUACCUGGAGAAGAAGCACCGGCUAACUACGUG